UAGGGAGCGAGCGUUGUCCGGAUUUACUGGGUGUAAAGGGUGCGCAGGCGGGACUGCAAGUUGGAUGUGAAAUGCCGGGGCUUAACCCCGGAGCUGCAUCCAAAACUGUAGUUCUUGAGUGAAGUAGAGGCAGGCGGAAUUCCGAGUGUAGCGGUGAAAUGCGUAGAUAUUCGGAGGAACACCAGUGGCGAAGGCGGCCUGCUGGGCUUUAACUGACGCUGAGGCACGAAAGCAUGGGGAGCAAA
rnacentral:rRNA from 1 species